rnacentral:rRNA from 1 species
CCUACGGGUGGCAGCAGUGGGGAAUUUUGCGCAAUGCUCGUAAGAGUGACGCAGCGACGCCGCGUGAAUGACGAAGGCCUUCGGGUCGUAAAGUUCUUUCGACAGGGAAGAAAAUGCAUAUAAGUAACUGCGUCUGUAUUGACGGUACCUGUAUAAGCAGCCCCGGCUAACUCCGGGCCAGCAGCCGCGGUAAUACGGAGGGGGCGAGCGUUGUCCGGAGUGACUGGGCGUAAAGAGCACGUAGGCGGUGUGGUAAGUCAUUAGUCAAAGACUAGAGCUCAACUUUAGUAAGGCUAGUGAUACUAUUGUACGAGAGAAUCAGUGAGGCUGGCAGAAUUCCUGGUGUAGCGGUGAAAUGCUUAGAUAUCAGGAGGAAUACCGUUAGCGAAGGCGGCAAUCUGACUGGAAACUGACGCUGAGGUGCGAAAGCGUGGGGAGCAAACAGGAUUAGAUACCCUUGUAGUC